rnacentral:rRNA from 1 species
UAGUCCACGCCGUAAACGAUGACAACUAGCUGUUGGGAGACUAUGUCUUUCAGUGGUGCAGCUAAUGCUUUAAGUUGUCCGCCUGGGGAGUACGGCCGCAAGGCUAAAACUCAAAUGAAUUGACGGGGGACCCGCACAAGCGGUGGAGCAUGUGGUUUAAUUCGAUGCAACGCGAAAAACCUUACCUACUCUUGACAUACUUGGGAGCUCUUGUAAUGAGAGUGUGCCUUAUGGAACCAAGAUACAGGUGCUGCAUGGCUGUCGUCAGCUCGUGUCGUGAGAUGUUCCGUUAAGUCGGAUAACGAGCGCAACCCUUACCCUUAUUUGCCAGCGAUUCGGUCGGGAACUAUAAGGGGACUGCCGGUGAUAAACCGGAGGAAGGUGAGGACGACGUCAAGUCAUCAUGGCCCUUACGAGUAGGGGCUACACACGUGCUACAAUGGGGGAAUACGAGACGGACGCUAAGCCGCGAGGGUGGGUGCUAAUCCUAGAAAGUUUCUCGUAGUCCGGGAUUGGGAGU